UCUCGGGAACUGAGGCUAAUGAUCGAUAGGUCAAGAUCCCUGGAAUGGGUUUUGGUCUAAAUGGCGUGACAGCAUCUUGUUAUGUCCGCCCGAGGAUGGGACUGCGGCCGAUCAGGCUGUUGGUGGGGUAAAGGCCCACCAAACCAGUAACCGGUACGGGCUUUGAGAGAAGGAGCCCGGAGAUGGACACUGAGACAAGGGUCCAGGUCCUACGGGGCGCAGCAGGCGCGAAACCUUCGCAAUGCGCGCAAGCGCGACGAGGUUAUUCCGAGUGAUUUCCGCUGAGGAAAUCUUUUCUUAGAUCUAAAAAGUCUGGGGAAUAAGGGGAGGGCAAGUCUGGUGUCAGCCGCCGCGGUAAUACCAGCUCCUCGAGUGGUCAGGGCGUUUAUUGGGCCUAAAGCAUCCGUAGCCUGCUCAGUAGGUCUCCUGUUAAAUCCAACGACUCAAUCGUUGGCCUGCAGGAGAUACCGCUGGGCUAGGAGGCGGGAGAGGCGGACGGUACUCCGAGGGUAGGGGUAAAAUCCUUUGAUCCCCGGAAGACCACCAGUGGCGAAGGCGGUCCGCCAGAACGCGCUCGACGGUGAGGGAUGAAAGCUGGGGGAGCGAACCGGAUUAGAUACCCGGGUAGUCCCAGCCGUAAACGAUGCGAGCUAGGUGACACGACGCCUUCGGGGCAUCGUGGUGCCGCA
rnacentral:rRNA from 1 species